rnacentral:lncRNA from 1 species
CAAUAGCCAUGUGCAUCAUAUUAACCACCUUCGGUAUGACCUGCAUGUUGGCUAUAGAUAUGACAAGGCUUUCCUCUAACUAGUAGAUUUUCCUCUUUUUCAAUAGCCAUGUGCAUCAUAUUAACCACCCUACCUACAUGUUGGCUAUAGAUACAAUCCAACCCAUUAUCACUAAAUACUGGAGGAAACCUAGACCUCAAAGAAUGUAAUGUGUAAUGAUAUUUUUAAACUCUAUAUUUAUAAUGAUAUUCUUUGCUUCGCUUCGGGUUUAUGUUUUAAUUCGUGUUUAUGUUAUUUGAUUUUUUUAUCCACAAACACCACGUGUAUAUGUUAUAAUUCGUGUAUAUGUUUUCUAUGCACUGACAUUAACACUAUCUACUAUCUUCGCAAUGUAACAAAAAUUUCUAGUAACUUUUUAUUCAGAUAAAGUUAAUGUUUCUACAAAAUAUACAAUUGCACCUAUAUCUAUUAAAUGGAUUUUUAUGUUUUUCUUAAUGGAUGACCAUCAUAUUUUAAAAUUUAGUUUCAUUUUAAUUUUCAUUUUUAGGAUGCCGAAUUUUCAGAAAUUUAUGUUAGAUAUGAUAUGUUAAGGUAUAAUUAAAGAUUAAGAUGAAAAUAUUUUAAUAGUUCUAAUCAUUGGUAUUU